AAAAAAAAAAAAAAGGCUUUUUGCAUUUUCUAGCAAUGACUUUGAAUGAUUUAAUUUUUAUUUAAAAACCAGCUAACCUCCUCCAUCGGAAAAUGUCUAUCAAAACAGAGACAGCUGGACCAAUGUUUCAACGUUCCUGAACAAUUCUUCAGCAACUGGAGGUAAUAGUGCAAAGAAGGGUGCAGUCCCAGAGGCUCAGCCUGCGCUGACAGUGAAGUUCUAACAAGCUUCCCGCGGAUGGCUUCCAUUCUAGUAACAACUUUGGACAGGCAAGAACCUAACCAACAGUAUAUGUUGUCAAACUCCUGGAUUUUUGCCAGUCUCUAGGUAAGCGAUGGUACAGUAUAUCAGCUGGAGAAUCUUUUGUUCAUAUGUUUGAGCCAUUUGCUUUUCUUUUUCCUGUGAGCUAUUCAUAUUUUUUGCCCAUUUUUCUACUAGGUUGUCCUUAAGAUUUCAUAUAUAUGGAAUAUCAACACUUCAUCAAUUUCUCCCUUGAUUCCCAGAGAGCGAAGUUUUCCCAAUUCUAUCAAGGAAUUUACUUACAAAUUCUAUCAAGGAAUUUACUUACAUUGUCUUUGGGACUUUAAAAGUCUUUGAAGAGAUGGGGUCCUGCUGGUCUCAAGCUCCUGGGCUCAAGUGACCCUCCUUACAUCAGCUUCCGGAAUAGCUGGGACUCCAGGUACAAGCCGCUGCGCUCUGCAGGUUUCCCUUUUUAUGUCUGGGUUUCUGAUUCAUUUGGAAUUUAAAUAUACACUAUGCAAGAUGGAUCCAAUUUUAUCCUUUUCCACAGGGUGGUCUUAUUGUCAAAAUACCACUUGUUAGAAGUGAUUUUUACCACUGAUUUUAAAUGCUAUCUUUAUCAAUCACUAAAUUUCCAAAUGUACAUGGAUCGAUUUCUGGAUUUUAAACUUUUCCAUUGUUCUAUUCCUGGGCCAACACUACACAUUCACUUAUGGAGGUUCUCGACAUGUAACAUCUCAUAGGACCAGCAACCUUCCUCAUUGUUUUUUUCUAGGUUAUUUUUGCUGUUCUUGUUUAUUAGGUUCCACGUGAAGAAUCACCUUGUGUAUCUCUCGGUAAAAAGUUUUAUCAGGAUCAUGUCAACCCUAUGAAAUGGAGAAAGCUGAUAUCCCGCAGCCACUGAGUCUUCCUACCCCUCAGCAUGCUCCACCUGCCAUUAUACUUUCACAGGGAUGUUUUUGUUUUUAUGUAGGGUUGAAAGUUUUACCUAUUUCUUAAGUUUGGGGUUUUGGUGUGUGUGGUUUUUUUCUAAGAUAGGGUCUCACUCUGUCACCCAGGCUAGAGUCCAGUGACAUGACGGUAGCUCACUGCAGCCUCGACCUCCCAGGCUCAAGCAAUCCUCUCACCUCAUCCUCCCAAGUAGCUGGGACUACAGGCAUACACCACAACACCUGGCUAAUUUUUAAAAAUUUUUUGUAGAGAAGGGGGUCUCAUUACGUUGCCCAGGCUGGUCUAGAACACCUUGGCUCAAACAACGCUCCCACCUUGGCUUCCCAAAGUGCUGGGUUUACAGACAUGGAUUAUACUGCACCCAGCCAAGUUUAGGUCUCAUUUGUUCUAGUUUUUGUUACUGUAACUUAACUAUUCAGUUAUAACUUUUAAGUGCUUUGGUUCACUGAAUCUUACUUAACUUGCUACUUUACAAAAUUCAUAUUGUUUAUAGAUUUUCUAUUCUUUUGGGCUUUCUACAUAUACAGUUAUAUAGAAAGGGUUUUUCCCUUUCAAGUUUUUUUUGGUGGGGGGGCAAGGGGUGGCUAAUAUUUCUAAAACAAUAGCUGAGAGAGAGCAUCCUUUAUAUCCCUGACUGUAAUGGGAAUGCUUCCACUGGCUUCUGUGCCAAGGUAUAUGUAUUUUUUAUCAUAUAAGAAAGUCGGCUAGGCUCAGUGGCUCAUGCCUAUAAUCUCAGCAAUUGGGAGGCCAAGGCAAGUGGAUCACUUGAGCCCUGGAGUUUAAGACCAGCCUGGGCGACAUGGUGAAACCCCAGAUCUGGAUUGUUUUGGUUGUUUCACCUCUGUGUUACUUUUGCCUACUUACAAAUUAGUACCAGCUGUGUAGCUCCCCCACCUUGGGGGCCUGAGUUCUGGCCCUGAGAGACUGAGGUUCUGAGAAACUAAACUUCUGUUUCCUCCGUCCUAGAGAAGGAAACAUGCUUUCUGCAGAAACUGUUACCUGUGACUGCCUUUUGCUCUUUUUGAGAUAUAUUUCACACCAUAAAAUGCACCCAUUUGUGGUUCUUGGUAUAUUUCAGAGUUGUGUAUCACUCCAUCAAUCCCAUACCCAUUAGCAGUCACUGCCCCCGCAGCGUGUGGCCACCUCUAACUGACUUUGUCUCUAUGGAUUUGCCUGUUUUGGGCAUUUCAUAUAAUGGGAAUCAUACACUAUGCAGCCUUUGGUAUAGGGCUUCUUGCACUUACCAUAAUUUUUCCAAGGUCCAUCCUCUACAUAUUUGUGCAUUUUUAUGGCUCGAUAUUCUCUUGUAUGGCUAUACGACAUUUCAUGCAUUCACUUGUUGAUGGACAUCUGGGUUGUUUCCACCUUUGGGCUACUAAUAAUGCUGCUAUGCCUGUACAACUUUUUGUAUGAUUAUGUGUUUUCAAUUCUCCUGCCUAUAGACUUAGGAGUGGAAUUGUAAUAACUUUCUGAAGAGCUUCCAGACUGUUUUCAACAGCAACCACACAUGAAGGUUCCAUUUUCUGCACAUCCUUGCCAACACGUAUUUUCCUACUUUUUGAUUCUAGCCAUCUUAACAGGUAUGACAUGGUUUUGAUUGGCAUUAAUGACACUGACCGUCUUUUGAAGUGCUUAUUGCCAAACAGCAUAUCAUUAGACUGUUCCAGGGCACCAUUACCUAUAUUAACUUCUUUAAUCUGCACAACAACCUUAUGAUGUAAGAUAUUGUUAGCAUUCCUAUUUUAUAAAUGAGGAAACUGAGGUAUGGCCUGAAUAACUUUCCAGGGUCACACAGGUAGGGAGCAACUGACCUGGGAUUUAAACCCAAGCAGUGUGGCUCCACAGACAAUGCUCUUACUCUCCCUGUACACGGGACUUCCAGAAAGGACAACUAUAGUAACUGAAAUUUUAAAAAAAUCUCAUUGGACAGGUAAACAGCAGUUAGACAACUGCAGGAAAGACAACUGGUAGGCAGGUCCAAGAAAAACACCUAGAAAGGCUUAAGAGAGAAGCUGCAGGGGAUGAGAAUGGCUGAAACAUUUCCAGAACUAGUGAAAGGCAUGAAAGAGAAAAGUCUACGAUGACAAAUAGGAAUUAGACAGUAUACUUGAACUGCAACUGAAAA
rnacentral:lncRNA from 1 species